rnacentral:rRNA from 1 species
GGGAUAACGUGGGGAAACCCACGCUAAUACCGCAUACGUCCUACGGGAGAAAGCGGAGGAUCUUCGGACUUCGCGCUAUCGGAUGAGCCUAUGUCGGAUUAGCUAGUUGGUAAGGUAACGGCUUACCAAGGCGACGAUCCGUAGCUGGUCUGAGAGGAUGAUCAGCCACACUGGGACUGAGACACGGCCCAGACUCCUACGGGAGGCAGCAGUGGGGAAUAUUGGACAAUGGGCGAAAGCCUGAUCCAGCCAUGCCGCGUGUGUGAAGAAGGCUUUCGGGUUGUAAAGCACUUUCAGCGAGGAAGAAAGCCUGGUGGUUAAUACCCAUCAGGAAGGACAUCACUCGCAGAAGAAGCACCGGCUAACUCCGUGCCAGCAGCCGCGGUAAUACGGAGGGUGCGAGCGUUAAUCGGAAUUACUGGGCGUAAAGCGCGCGUAGGUGGCUUGGCACGCCGGUUGUGAAAGCCCCGGGCUCAACCUGGGAACGGCAUCCGGAACGGCCAGGCUAGAGUGCAGGAGAGGAAGGUAGAAUUCCCGGUGUAGCGGUGAAAUGCGUAGAGAUCGGGAGGAAUACCAGUGGCGAAGGCGGCCUUCUGGCCUGACACUGACACUGAGGUGCGAAAGCGUGGGUAGCAAACAGGAUUAGAUACCCUGGUAGUCCACGCCGUAAACGAUGUCGACUAGCCGUUGGGACCUUUAAGGACUUAGUGGCGCAGUUAACGCGAUAAGUCGACCGCCUGGGGAGUACGGCCGCAAGGUUAAAACUCAAAUGAAUUGACGGGGGCCCGCACAAGCGGUGGAGCCAUGUGGUUUAAUUCGAUGCAACGCGAAGAACCUUACCUACCCUUGACAUCCUGCGAAUUUGGUAGAGAUACCUUAGUGCCUUCGGGAGCGCAGUGACAGGUGCUGCAUGGCUGUCGUCAGCUCGUGUUGUGAAAUGUUGGGUUAAGUCCCGUAACGAGCGCAACCCUUGUCCUUAUUUGCCAGCACGUAAUGGUGGGAACUCUAAGGAGACUGCCGGUGACAAACCGGAGGAAGGUGGGGACGACGUCAAGUCAUCAUGGCCCUUACGGGUAGGGCUACACACGUGCUACAAUGGCCGGUACAAAGGGUUGCGAGACCGCGAGGUGGAGCGAAUCCCAGAAAGCCGGCCUCAGUCCGGAUCGGAGUCUGCAACUCGACUCCGUGAAGUCGGAAUCGCUAGUAAUCGUGAAUCAGAAUGUCACGGUGAAUACGUUCCCGGGCCUUGUACACACCGCCCG